GGACUACAAGGGUUUCUAAUCCCGUUCGCUACCCUAGCUUUCGUGCCUCAGCGUCAGAAAAGAUCCAGUGAGCCGCUUUCGCCACGGGUGUUCCUUAGGAUAUCAACGCAUUUCACCGCUCCACCCUAAGUUCCGCUCACCUCUAUCUUCCUCGAGCACAGCAGUUUUGGGCGCAGUUCCUCGGUUGAGCCGAGGGAUUUCACACCCAACUUGCUGCGCAGCCUACGCACCCUUUAAGCCCAGUGAUUCCGAAUAACGUUCGUGUGGUUCGUCUUACCGCGGCUGCUGGCAC
rnacentral:rRNA from 1 species